AGUGAACGCUGGCGGUAGGCCUAACACAUGCAAGUCGAACGGCAGCACAGUAAGAGCUUGCUCUUACGGGUGGCGAGUGGCGUACGGGUGAGGUAUACAUCGGAAUCUACUUUUUCGUGGGGGAUAACGUAGGGAAACUUACGCUAAUACCGCAUACGACCUACGGGUGAAAGCAGGGGAUCUUCUGACCUUGCGCGAUUGAAUGAGCCGAUGUCGGGUUAGCUAGUUGGCGGGGUAAUGGCCCACCAAGGCGACGAUCCGUAGCCGGUCUGAGAGGAUGAUCAGCGGCACUGGAGCUGAGACACGGUCCAGACUCCUACGGGAGGCAGCAGAGUGGAAUAGUAGACAAUGGGCGCAAGCCUGAUCCAGCCAUACCGCGUGGGUGAAGAAGACCUUCGGGUUGUAAAGCCCUUUUGUGGGGAGAGAAAAGCAGCAGGUUAAUACCCCGCUGUUCUGACGGUACCCAAAGAAUAAGCACCGGCUAACUUCGUG
rnacentral:rRNA from 1 species